rnacentral:snRNA from 1 species
UGUCAUGCCCAUAAAAAAAAAAAAAAAAAAAAAAAAAAGAUUCUUUCGCCUUUUACUAAAGAAUUCCGUGGAGAGGAGCAGUUUAAUGAGUCUUGAACAUUUUUCGAUAUCCGACUUUGGUCGGUUU